rnacentral:rRNA from 1 species
GGUUUGAUUCUGGCUCAGAUUGAACGCUGGCGGGAUGCUUUACGAUGCAAGUCGAACGGCAGCACGGACUUCGGUCUGGUGGCGAGUGGCGAACGGGUGAGUAAUGUAUCGAAACGUGCCUUAGUAGCGGGGGAUAACUACGCGAAAGCGUAGCUAAUACCGCAUACGCCCUUCGGGGGAAAGCGGGGACCUUCGGGCCUCGCACUAUUAGAGCGGCCGAUAUCGGAUUAGCUAGUUGGUGGGGUAACGGCUCACCAAGGCGACGAUCCGUAGCUGGUUUGAGAGGACGACCAGCCACACUGGGACUGAGACACGGCCCAGACUCCUACGGGAGGCAGCAGUGGGGGGAAUUUUGGACAAUGGGGAAACCCCAAUCCAGCCAUCCCGCGUGUGCGAUGAAGGCCUUCGGGUUGUAAAGCACUUUUGGCAGGAAAGAAACGGCACGGGAUAAUACCCCGCAACUGACGGUACCUGCAGAAUAAGCACCGGCUAACUACGCCAGCAGCCGCGGUAAUACGUAGGGUGCAAGCGUUAAUCGGAAUUACUGGGCGUAAAGCGUGCGCAGGCGGUUCGGAAAGAAAGAUGGGAAAUCCCAGAGCUUAACUUUGAACUGCAUUUUUAACUACCGAGCUAGAGUGUGUCAGAGGGAGGUGGAAUUCCGCGUGUAGCAGUGAAAUGCGUAGAUAUGCGAGAAACAACACCGAUGGCGAAGGCAGCCUCCGGGAUAACACUGACGCUCAUGCACGAAAGCGUGGGGAGCAAACAGGAUUAGAUAAUUCUGGUAGUCCACGCCCUAAACGAUGUCAACUAGCUGUUGGGGCCUUCGGGCCUGGUAGCGCAGCUAACGCGUGAAGUUGACCGCCUGGGGAGUACGGUCGCAAGAUUAAAACUCAAAGGAAUUGACGGGGAUCGCACAAGCGGUGGAUGAUGUGGAUUAAUUGAUGCAACGCGAAAAACCUUACCUACCCUUGACAUGUCUGGAAUCCCGAAGAGAUUUGGGAGUGCUCGCAAGAGAACCGGAACACAGGUGCUGCAUGGCUGUCGUCAGCUCGUGUCGUGAGAUGUUGGGUUAAGUCCCGCAACGAGCGCAACCCUUGUCAUUAGUUGCUACGAAAGGGCACUCUAAUGAGACUGCCGGUGACAAACCGGAGGAAGGUGGGGAUGACGUCAAGUCCUUCAUGGCCCUUAUGGGCAGGGCUUCACACGUCAUACAAUGGUCGGGACAGAGGGUCGCCAACCCGCGAGGGGGAGCCAAUCCCAGAAACCCGAUCGUAGGUCCGAUCGCAGUCUGCAACUCGACUGCGUGAAGUCGGAAUCGCUAGCAAUCGCGGAUCAGCAUGUCGCGGUGAAUACGUUCCCGGGUCUUGUACACACCGCCCGUCACACCAUGGGAGUGGGUUUUACCAGAAGUAGUUAGCCUAACCGUAAGGAGGGCGGGAUUACCACGGUAGGAUUCAUGACUGGGGUGAAGUUUCGUAAUAAGGUAG